GCAAGGUUAACCGAAUAGGGGAGCCGAAGGGAAACCGAGUCUUAACUGGGCGUUAAGUUGCAGGGUAUAGACCCGAAACCCGGUGAUCUAGCCAUGGGCAGGUUGAAGGUUGGGUAACACUAACUGGAGGACCGAACCGACUAAUGUUGAAAAAUUAGCGGAUGACUUGUGGCUGGGGGUGAAAGGCCAAUCAAACCGGGAGAUAGCUGGUUCUCCCCGAAAGCUAUUUAGGUAGCGCCUCGUGAAUUCAUCUCCGGGGGUAGAGCACUGUUUCGGCAAGGGGGUCAUCCCGACUUACCAACCCGAUGCAAACUGCGAAUACCGGAGAAUGUUAUCACGGGAGACACACGGCGGGUGCUAACGUCCGUCGUGAAGAGGGAAACAACCCAGACCGCCAGCUAAGGUCCCAAAGUCAUGGUUAAGUGGGAAACGAUGUGGGAAGGCCCAGACAGCCAGGAUGUUGGCUUAGAAGCAGCCAUCAUUUAAAGAAAGCGUAAUAGCUCACUGGUCGAGUCGGCCUGCGCGGAAGAUGUAACGGGGCUAAACCAUGCACCGAAGCUGCGGCAGCGACGCUGAUGCGUUGUUGGGUAGGGGAGCGUUCUGUAAGCCUGUGAAGGUGUGCUGUGAGGCAUGCUGGAGGUAUCAGAAGUGCGAAUGCUGACAUAAGUAACGAUAAAGCGGGUGAAAAGCCCGCUCGCCGGAAGACCAAGGGUUCCUGUCCAACGUUAAUCGGGGCAGGGUGAGUCGACCCCUAAGGCGAGGCCGAAAGGCGUAGUCGAUGGGAAACAGGUUAAUAUUCCUGUACUUGGUGUUACUGCGAAGGGGGGACGGAGAAGGCUAUGUUGGCCGGGCGACGGUUGUCCCGGUUUAAGCGUGUAGGCUGGUUUUCCAGGCAAAUCCGGAAAACUAAGGCUGAGGCGUGAUGACGAGGCACUACGGUGCUGAAGCAACAAAUGCCCUGCUUCCAGGAAAAGCCUCUAAGCAUCAGGUAACAUCAAAUCGUACCCCAAACCGACACAGGUGGUCAGGUAGAGAAUACCAAGGCGCUUGAGAGAACUCGGGUGAAGGAACUAGGCAAAAUGGUGCCGUAACUUCGGGAGAAGGCACGCUGAUAUGUAGGUGAAGUCCCUCGCGGAUGGAGCUGAAAUCAGUCGAAGAUACCAGCUGGCUGCAACUGUUUAUUAAAAACACAGCACUGUGCAAACACGAAAGUGGACGUAUACGGUGUGACGCCUGCCCGGUGCCGGAAGGUUAAUUGAUGGGGUCAGCGCAAGCGAAGCUCUUGAUCGAAGCCCCGGUAAACGGCGGCCGUAACUAUAACGGUCCUAAGGUAGCGAAAUUCCUUGUCGGGUAAGUUCCGACCUGCACGAAUGGCGUAAUGAUGGCCAGGCUGUCUCCACCCGAGACUCAGUGAAAUUGAACUCGCUGUGAAGAUGCAGUGUACCCGCGGCAAGACGGAAAGACCCCGUGAACCUUUACUAUAGCUUGACACUGAACAUUGAGCCUUGAUGUGUAGGAUAGGUGGGAGGCUUUGAAGUGUGGACGCCAGUCUGCAUGGAGCCGACCUUGAAAUACCACCCUUUAAUGUUUGAUGUUCUAACGUUGACCCGUAAUCCGGGUUGCGGACAGUGUCUGGUGGGUAGUUUGACUGGGGCGGUCUCCUCCUAAAGAGUAACGGAGGAGCACGAAGGUUGGCUAAUCCUGGUCGGACAUCAGGAGGUUAGUGCAAUGGCAUAAGCCAGCUUGACUGCGAGCGUGACGGCGCGAGCAGGUGCGAAAGCAGGUCAUAGUGAUCCGGUGGUUCUGAAUGGAAGGGCCAUCGCUCAACGGAUAAAAGGUACUCCGGGGAUAACAGGCUGAUACCGCCCAAGAGUUCAUAUCGACGGCGGUGUUUGGCACCUCGAUGUCGGCUCAUCACAUCCUGGGGCUGAAGUAGGUCCCAAGGGUAUGGCUGUUCGCCAUUUAAAGUGGUACGCGAGCUGGGUUUAGAACGUCGUGAGACAGUUCGGUCCCUAUCUGCCGUGGGCGCUGGAGAACUGAGGGGGGCUGCUCCUAGUACGAGAGGACCGGAGUGGACGCAUCACUGGUGUUCGGGUUGUCAUGCCAAUGGCACUGCCCGGUAGCUAAAUGCGGAAGAGAUAAGUGCUGAAAGCAUCUAAGCACGAAACUUGCCCCGAGAUGAGUUCUCCCUGACUCCUUGAGAGUCCUGAAGGAACGUUGAAG
rnacentral:rRNA from 1 species